GGCUCGGUAGCUUAGUUGGAAAAGCGCUCGUCUGGUAUACAAGAGUCCUGGGUUCGAAUCCCAGCCGAGCAC
rfam:Aedes aegypti strain Liverpool supercont1.36 genomic scaffold, whole genome shotgun sequence.